UGCUGGACUUUCUGGAGUGGCGAAGUUUUUAAAAAUCAUAAUAGUGCUCAUAAGAAAGAAAACCUGGAUCCCUAAUGCAAAAAUUGCAAUGAUUGGGAGAAACAUCAUCAAAAAUAUAAGAAUGCCCGCAGAAUGUACCAAAUGAUGCAAAUGCAACACAAACUAUAUCCGAAAUCGUUAUCACCGCUGAUCUCCAGAAAGUAAGUGAUAAGUAUAAUUCGUUCGUUUUUAAUUUUAUUUAAUUCUCGUUUUAAAUUCGCCGUUUUUAAUUCUCGUUUUUAGGUAAGGAAAUAAUUUUUAUGCCAAGACUUGUGGCAUACAACGAAAGUGUCGUUUCCGCUGGCAAAUUAGGCAAAAUGUCCCCAUACGCCGUUUUGUGACAUGAUGCUAUGCAAGGGAGGUCAAAAGAAAAUAUCAUUAGCAGCUUUUAUCAAUACUUCCUAUCCAUGAGAGAUACUAAUUAAUAGGACAGAAACUUCUAUAGAAAAAGUAAUUCUGAGAUAUUUUGAACCUAUGGCAGCGGACUCGUUCCAUCGUCAAAUUGAAGUCAGCUUAAAGAGGCGUGGGAAAAUUAUAUGAUUUUUCAGAUUUCGUAGAAGCGGUAGGAGCUGCAUCCAAAUUAACAAAAGUUAUAGAAAUGAAUUUGGAUUGUUUCUAUAAAUGGGAAGAUCAAUCAUCACAGUAUAAACUUAAGAAAACUACUCCUAGACCAUACUUAAGUAACAUGGUAGAGGCAAUAUUUGAGAGAAGAAAAAGAACUAUGUCAUAUAAAAAUUCAUUUGAUGAUGAAGUCAUUGAACUUAAUUUCUUAAAUUCCAAGUCUCAAAAACAGGGAAUUUAUAUGCCCAAAAAAGAAAUUAGUCCUAAAGGAAUACCAAAUACUAAGAAAAUUGAAAUUCUUCCAACAUCCAGAAUGCCAUUUUGGGUAAGUUUACCUACAACGAACGAUAGAGUACAGUCCAGUGAUGAUAAAUGAAGCUUUCGAGCUUAACCCAUAAAAUUUAAAAUGUUUUCGAAUCCUUAAAGUCCCAUGUUGGAGAAUUUCACUCGUGUAUAAAUUAAUAACGUGUUUAAUGUUAAUCGGUUUUUCCGAUCUGUAUCCUAUGUAAAUGUUGAG